rnacentral:rRNA from 1 species
AUUGAACGCUGGCGGCAUGCCUUACACAUGCAAGUCGAACGGUAACAGGUCUUCGGAUGCUGACGAGUGGCGCACGGGUGAGUAAUACAUCGGAACGUGCCCGAUCGUGGGGGAUAACGAAGCGAAAGCUUUGCUGAUACCGCAUACGAUCUACGGAUGAAAGCAGGGGACCGCAAGGCCUUGCGCGAACGGAGCGGCCGAUGGCAGAUUAGGUAGUUGGUGGGAUAAAAGCUUACCAAGCCGACGAUCUGUAGCUGGUCUGAGAGGACGACCAGCCACACUGGGACUGAGACACGGCCCAGACUCCUACGGGAGGCAGCAGUGGGGAAUUUUGGACAAUGGGCGAAAGCCUGAUCCAGUCAUGCCGCGUGCAGGAUGAAGGCCUUCGGGUUGUAAACUGCUUUUGUACGGAACGAAAAGACUCUGGUUAAUACCUGGGGUCCAUGACGGUACCGUAAGAAUAAGCACCGGCUAACUACGUG